AGUUUGAUCCUGGCUCAGGAUGAACGCUAGCUACAGGCUUAACACAUGCAAGUCGAGGGGCAUCAGUUUGGUUUGCUUGCAAACCAAAGCUGGCGACCGGCGCACGGGUGAGUAACACGUAUCCAACCUGCCUCAUACUCGGGGAUAGCCUUUCGAAAGAAAGAUUAAUAUCCGAUAGCAUAUAUUUCCCGCAUGGGUUUUAUAUUAAAGAAAUUCGGUAUGAGAUGGGGAUGCGUUCCAUUAGUUUGUUGGCGGGGUAACGGCCCACCAAGACUACGAUGGAUAGGGGUUCUGAGAGGAAGGUCCCCCACAUUGGAACUGAGACACGGUCCAAACUCCUACGGGAGGCAGCAGUGAGGAAUAUUGGUCAAUGGACGCGAGUCUGAACCAGCCAAGUAGCGUGAAGGAUGACUGCCCUAUGGGUUGUAAACUUCUUUUAUAUGGGAAUAAAGUGGUCCACGUGUGGAUUUUUGUAUGUACCAUAUGAAUAAGGAUCGGCUAACUCCGUGCCAGCAGCCGCGGUAAUACGGAGGAUCCGAGCGUUAUCCGGAUUUAUUGGGUUUAAAGGGAGCGUAGGCGGAUUGUUAAGUCAGUUGUGAAAGUUUGCGGCUCAACCGUAAAAUUGCAGUUGAUACUGGCAGUCUUGAGUGCAGUAGAGGUGGGCGGAAUUCGUGGUGUAGCGGUGAAUGCUUAGAUAUCACGAAGAACUCCGAUUGCGAAGGCAGCUCACUGGAGUGUAACUGACGCUGAUGCUCGAAAGUGUGGGUAUCAAACAGGAUUAGAUACCCUGGUAGUCCACACAGUAAACGAUGAAUACUCGCUGUUUGCGAUAUACAGUAAGCGGCCAAGCGAAAGCAUUAAGUAUUCCACCUGGGGAGUACGCCGGCAACGGUGAAACUCAAAGGAAUUGACG
rnacentral:rRNA from 1 species